rnacentral:rRNA from 1 species
AGCUGAUCAUUGGGCAUAAAGCGUGCGCAGGCGGUUUUGUAAGACAGAGGUGAAAUCCCCGGGCUCAGCCUGGGAACUGCCUUUGUGACUGCAAGGCUGGAGUGCGGCAGAGGGGGAUGGAAUUCCGCGUGUAGCAGUGAAAUGCGUAGAUAUGCGGAGGAACACCGAUGGCGAAGGCAAUCCCCUGGGCCUGCACUGACGCUCAUGCACGAAAGCGUGGGGAGCAAACA